GCCGGUGUAGCUCAGAUGGUAGAGCACCUGACUUGUAAUCAGGGGGUCGCGAGUUCGAUUCCUGCCGCCGGCACCA
rnacentral:tRNA from 6 species